rnacentral:lncRNA from 10 species
CGUCUUCCUGCUGCCUUGUGAAGAAAGUACUCUGCUUCCUCUUCCCCUUCCACCAUGCUUGUAAAUUUCCGGAGGCCUCCCCAGCCAUGCUGAACAGUGAGUCAAUUAAACUUCUUUCCUUUGUAAAUUACCCAGUCUCUGGCAGUUCUUUACAGCAGCAUGAAAACUGACUAAUACAGUAGCCCUGAUGCAAAGUAGAGCUUCAGAAAGGAUCAGGGAACUGCUAAGUACUUUGGACUACAGCGAACAUGCUCAAGGCAGAAAACAGGAGGAGGCUGCAUCUAGGCAAAGGUCUUUUUUUUACCACAGCCAAUUAGAGUGUCCCUGAGGAAUCUCUAAAGUAUUCUUAAAGGAGCGAGGCAAGUCCUAGAGGGUUCAGUUAAUCUUACCAUGGCCUUUCUGUCCAGUAAAAAAUAUCAAGUUAUUUUGCAGUGCUGAGUGGUUGUUUGCCAGCUGAAACUUCAGGUGGAAUUCAUAAUGGAAGCUGAUGUCUGAGAUCCGUGAAUAAGCCAGGAAUGAGGUGUAUCCAAAGGCAUCUGUGCCACUGAACCUUGGCUGAGUAAUAUUAAUAGCUGUGAAAAAACCCAAACCAAACAGUUAAAAUAAACCUGUACAUGUAUUUGUAAAGUG